CUUCAAUCUGCCUUUUACUUGUGAUCUUUCAGAGCAGCGUUCGUCGCAGACUCAGCAUAUCGCUAAUUCCCAACCAAAUCCAGGAGAAGAUAAAGCGAGACGUGAAGAAAAGAGCUCUUCCCGAAAGGUCCUUCAGCAAGGAUUCCUUCCUCACCUGCACGUCUCCCCCCUUGAAGUCCAGCUGCUCUGCCAUGACCAUGGAUUACAGCCUCCCUGCGGAUGACAGGCCGCUGGAUCCAGAUGAAACUCUGUCAGAAGCUCCAGCUGCUGAGCUUCUUCCACCUCCGGUCCUCAGCCCCGAGUGUCUCCCAUCUAAACAACAGGCCACCAGAAAGUUACGCGACAAAAAGUAUGGACUCACUGGUCACGAACAAAAUAGCAGAAACGCCACACAAUACUAAUACCUGCAGUAAACAUCAACCCUGCUGAAGCUCUGGAUGUUUGUUUGAUUAAAGCUUGCUCUUUUUUUUGACGAUGCUGUAAUUCAUGGCCUUAAU